rnacentral:rRNA from 1 species
CAGCAGCCGCGGGAAUACGUAGGGAGCGAGCGUUGUCCGGAUUUAUUGGGCGUAAAGAGCUCGUAGGCGGCUUGGUAAGUCGGAUGUGAAACCUCCAGGCUCAACCUGGAGACGCCAUCCGAUACUGCUAUGGCUUGAGUCCGGUAGGGGCCCACGGAAUUCCUGGUGUAGCGGUGGAAUGCGCAGAUAUCAGGAGGAACACCGGUGGCGAAGGCGGUGGGCUGGGCCGGUACUGACGCUGAGGAGCGAAAGCGUGGGGAGCGAACAGGAUUAGAGACCCCUGUAGUCCCUGUCUCUUAUA